CGAAAGCCUGACGGAGCAAUACCGCGUGAGGGAUGACUGCCUAUGGGUUGUAAACCUCUUUUUUCAGGGAGGAACACAAUGACGUGUACCUGAAGAAUAAGCAUCGGCUAACUCCGUGCCAGCAGCCGCGGUAAGACGGAGGAUGCAAGUGUUAUCCGGAAUCACUGGGCGUAAAGCGUCUGUAGGUGGUUUAAUAAGUCAACUGUUAAAUCUUGAGGCUUAACCUCAAAAUCGCAGUCGAAACUAUUAGACUAGAGUAUAGUAGGGGUAAAGGGAAUUUCCAGUGGAGCGGUGAAAUGCGUAGAUAUUGGAAAGAACACCGAUGGCGAAGGCACUUUACUGGGCUAUUACUGACACUCAGAGACAAAAGCUAGGGUAGCAAAUG
rnacentral:rRNA from 1 species